rnacentral:lncRNA from 1 species
GGUUUCUCUCCCCCAGGACUGAGCAUGGAGCCACAGCCGGAAGGCGUCGUUUCUGGUUUUGCCUGUUUUUUGCUGUUCUGAGCCCAAAAUGUUGGGGUUUGGUUCAAUAAACAGCGGGAUUGGCAACGCGGCCUCAAAAAAGUUUAGUUUUGGGGGGGGACAGGGGGGGUCUGGUCACAGUGGGUCCCCCGCCGAUGUCCCCACCCCAUCCCCGUGUCCCCCCCUCUUUGUCCUUGUCCCCCCCAUCCUUGUGCCCCCCCCCAAUGUCCCUGUCCUCGAUGUCCCCAUUGGGGUUGUCCCCAUCCCACUGUCCCCACCCCAAUGUCCUCGUCCUGAUGUCCCCUCCCUGAUGUCCCCAUCCCAGUGUCCCCAUCCCGAUGUGAUCCCAGUGUCCUUGUCCCCAUGUCCCCAUCCCAACGUCACCCUGCUGUCCCCAUCCCGAUGUCCUUGUCCCCGUGUUCCCGUCCCACUGUCCCUGUCCCAAUGUCCCCACCCCGAUGUCCUUGUUCUGAUGCCCCCGUGUCCCCAUCCCGCUGUCCCCACCCUGAUGUCCUUGUCCCCGUGUCCUCAUCCCAGUGUCCCCAUUACCAAUGUCCUUGUCCCCCUGUCCCCGUGUCCCCGUCCUGAUGUCCUUGUCCUGAUGGGGAUCAUGGGGAUGGGGUCACCCUAACUGGGGACAUCUUGGGGACAUUGUGGGGAUGGGGUCACCCCAAUGGGGGACAUUUGGGGACACUUUGGGGACAUUUGGGGGACAUUUGGGGCCACCCCCCUGCUGUCACCUCCCCAGCUGCUCCCACUCCACGCUGGGGACACUUUGGGGACAUUUUGGGGAUGGGGUCACCCCAAUGGGGGACAUUUUGGGGACACAGGGAUGGUGUAACCCCACACAGGGACAUUUGGGGCCAUUUGGGGCCAUUUGGGGCCACCCCCCCCCGCAUCACCUCCCCAGCUGCUCCCACUCCAGGCUGGGGGCACUUUGGGGACAUUUUGAGGAUGGGGUCACCCCACUUGGGGACAUUUGGAGACACUUUGGGGAUGGGGUCACCCCAAUUAGGGACAUUUUGGGGACACAGGGACAGGACCACCCUAACUGGGAACAUUCUGGGGAUGGGGUCACCCCAUUGGGGACACUUUGGGGACAUUUGGGGCCACCCCCCCGCGUCACCUCCCCAGCUGCUCCCACUCCAUGCUGGGGACACUGUGGGGACAUUUUGGGGACAGGGUCACC